UUAAUAGAAACAGGUUGUUUAUUUUACUUUUUCUUUUUGUCUUGAAUUAUUUUAGAUGGCUACAUGUAGAGUGCCUGGAUUCAUCUGCACUGAAACUCCUUGAGAAUUUUGAUAGGUUGAGCCAAAACAGAAUAAUGAAAUGAACCCUUCUAGGCAGGAAGGCAGAAACAGACAUAAAAGAUGAUUUCUUUGUGUUAUCUGGCCUUUAUGGAAAGAACCAUGAUGAGCUUCCAGAAAAUGCAUUAUUGAUGUGAUGUAAUAAGGAGAUUAAAGCAGCUGCAUCAUCUCAUUAACCUUCACCCCUAGAGAAGAUGGCAAGGCCACACUAUUUCAAAUUCACAUAUUUGCAUUAAGUACCACUGGACUGGGUAAGAAGCAUCUUUACUUCAGCAAGAAGAAUCAUAGAGAAAACUACCCGGAG
rnacentral:lncRNA from 1 species